CGGCGAUGUCCGAAUGGGGAAACCCAGUGCAAUUCGUUGCACUAUCGUUAACUGAAUACAUAGGUUAACGAGGCGAACCGGGGGAACUGAAACAUCUAAGUACCCCGAGGAAAAGAAAUCAACCGAGAUUCCCCCAGUAGCGGCGAGCGAACGGGGAGCAGCCCAGAGUCUGAAUCAGCUUGUGUGUUAGUGGAACGGUCUGGAAAGUCCGACGGUACAGGGUGAUAGUCCCGUACACCAAAAUGCACAGGUUGUGAACUCGAAGAGUAGGGCGGGACACGUGGUAUCCUGUCUGAAUAUGGGGGGACCAUCCUCCAAGGCUAAAUACUCCUGACUGACCGAUAGUGAACCAGUACCGUGAGGGAAAGGCGAAAAGAACCCCGGCGAGGGGAGUGAAAAAGAACCUGAAACCGUGUACGUACAAGCAGUGGGAGCACCUUCGGGUGUGACUGCGUACCUUUUGUAUAAUGGGUCAGCGACUUAUAUUCUGUAGCAAGGUUAACCGUAUAGGGGAGCCGCAGGGAAACCGAGUCUUAACUGGGCGUUAAGUUGCAGGGUAUAGACCCGAAACCCGGUGAUCUAGCCAUGGGCAGGUUGAAGGUUGGGUAACACUAACUGGAGGACCGAACCGACUAAUGUUGAAAAAUUAGCGGAUGACUUGUGGCUGGGGGUGAAAGGCCAAUCAAACCGGGAGAUAGCUGGUUCUCCCCGAAAGCUAUUUAGGUAGCGCCUCGUGAACUCAUCUUCGGGGGUAGAGCACUGUUUCGGCUAGGGGGUCAUCCCGACUUACCAACCCGAUGCAAACUACGAAUACCGAAGAAUGUUAUCACGGGAGACACACGGCGGGUGCUAACGUCCGUCGUGAAGAGGGAAACAACCCAGACCGCCAGCUAAGGUCCCAAAGUCAUGGUUAAGUGGGAAACGAUGUGGGAAGGCACAGACAGCCAGGAUGUUGGCUUAGAAGCAGCCAUCAUUUAAAGAAAGCGUAAUAGCUCACUGGUCGAGUCGGCCUGCGCGGAAGAUGUAACGGGGCUAAACCAUGCACCGAAGCUGCGGCAGCGACACUAUGUGUUGUUGGGUAGGGGAGCGUUCUGUAAGCCUGCGAAGGUGACCUGUGAGGGUUGCUGGAGGUAUCAGAAGUGCGAAUGCUGACAUAAGUAACGAUAAAGCGGGUGAAAAGCCCGCUCGCCGGAAGACCAAGGGUUCCUGUCCAACGUUAAUCGGGGCAGGGUGAGUCGACCCCUAAGGCGAGGCCGAAAGGCGUAGUCGAUGGGAAACAGGUUAAUAUUCCUGUACUUGGUGUUACUGCGAAGGGGGGACGGAGAAGGCUAUGUUAGCCGGGCGACGGUUGUCCCGGUUUAAGCAUGUAGGCUGGUUGUCCAGGCAAAUCCGGAUAAUCAAGGCUGAGGUGUGAUGACGAGGCACUACGGUGCUGAAGUAACAAAUGCCCUGCUUCCAGGAAAAGCCUCUAAGCAUCAGGUAACAUCAAAUCGUACCCCAAACCGACACAGGUGGUCAGGUAGAGAAUACCAAGGCGCUUGAGAGAACUCGGGUGAAGGAACUAGGCAAAAUGGUGCCGUAACUUCGGGAGAAGGCACGCUGGUGUGUAGGUGAAGUCCCUGCGGAUGGAGCUGAGACCAGUCGAAGAUACCAGCUGGCUGCAACUGUUUAUUAAAAACACAGCACUGUGCAAACACGAAAGUGGACGUAUACGGUGUGACGCCUGCCCGGUGCCGGAAGGUUAAUUGAUGGGGUUAUCCGUAAGGAGAAGCUCUUGAUCGAAGCCCCGGUAAACGGCGGCCGUAACUAUAACGGUCCUAAGGUAGCGAAAUUCCUUGUCGGGUAAGUUCCGACCUGCACGAAUGGCGUAAUGAUGGCCAGGCUGUCUCCACCCGAGACUCAGUGAAAUUGAACUCGCUGUGAAGAUGCAGUGUACCCGCGGCAAGACGGAAAGACCCCGUGAACCUUUACUAUAGCUUGACACUGAACAUUGAGCCUUGAUGUGUAGGAUAGGUGGGAGGCUUUGAAGCGUGGACGCCAGUCUGCGUGGAGCCAACCUUGAAAUACCACCCUUUAAUGUUUGAUGUUCUAACGUUGGCCCCU
rnacentral:rRNA from 1 species